AACAUCCUAUUUCUACCAAACACAGUUUCAAUAAAGUUCUGUAAAGCAAAUUCGCUUUUCUUGGUAAAUAGAUCAUCUGUCUGGGUUCAACAUAGUUCUGAAGGUUAUUUAGCUCUGUGAGCUGUGGCAGGCAGCCUGCAACUUAAGAAACACAGCACGCCAGUGACCAGCGCUCUGCAGUGCGAAACACAAUAACUUCAAUCACUUCAGAGUGAACCUGCGCGAGAAACGGCACGCCAGGGACCAGUGCCCAACACAGAAGCUUUGCGGCACGAAAGACAAUUGACUUGAAUCACGUCAGAGUGCACCUACGUGAGAACCUGCAAGAAAGGAAUGUUCUGCUGCCUGUGCCGUCAACAUAGACAGACUGCUAAGAGGGGUGUGUCAAAGCACCCUUUUAUUGAAAUAGGGGCCCAGAUUCAUCGGCUGGACUAUAUUAACCGGCACUCAGGGACAGAGCACCACAUGGAAAGUGUGAGGGCUCAUGCAAUGCUGGCAAAAGAUUGGCAAGAACACAAACUACAGGUCACACAAUAGUGGAAGAAAUGUUGAAGAUUCUGGCUCAAGUAGUGGAGGAGCCUAUCCUCCAUGUCAUCCAGACAUCUGUAGCCAAUGGCCUGGAGCCUGAUGAAACUACAGAUGUGGCAACUAAUAAGUACCUGGAUUUACA